rnacentral:rRNA from 1 species
UGCCAGCAGCCGCGGUAAUACGGAGGGUGCAAGCGCUAAUCGGAAUUACUGGGCGUAAAGAGUACGUAGGCGGCUUUACAAGUCGGGUGUGAAAGCCCUGAGCUUAACUCAGGAACUGCAUUCGAUACUGUAUCGCUAGAGUUUAUUAGAGGAUAGCGGAAUUCCAGGUGUAGCGGUGAAAUGCGUAGAUAUCUGGAGGAACACCAAUGGCGAAGGCAGCUAUCUGGGAUACAACUGACACUGAGGAGCGAAAGCAUGGGUAGCGAAGAGGAUUAGAUA